UGAGGAGUAUUGCUCAAUGGGCGAAAGCCUGAAGCAGCGACGCCGCGUGAGGGAUGAAAUCCGUUAGGAUGUAAACCUCUUUUGCAGGGGAAGAAUGUUCCGACUUCGGUCGGAAUUGACGGUACCCUGUGAAUAAGCACCGGCAAACUACGUGCCAGCAGCCGCGGUAAUACGUAGGGUGCGAGCGUUGUCCGGAAUUACUGGGUGUAAAGGGUCCGCAGGCGGACAUGUAAGUCGAUGGUGAAAUCUCCUGGCUCAACCAGGAACCUGCUGUCGAUACUAUUUGUCUUGAGUCCGAGAGAGGAUAGUGGAAUUCAUGGUGUAGCGGUGAAAUGCGUAGAGAUCAUGAAGAACACCGGUAGCGAAGGCGGCUAUCUGGCUCGGUACUGACGCUCAGGGACGAAAGCGUGGGUAGCAAACA
rnacentral:rRNA from 1 species